GUUUUACGGUGUUGCCUGCGUUUUUUGGUGUUUUUCUGCUUUUUUCCCGUCUUUUGGCUCCUCGCACUGAACCGCGUGCAUACACCGCUCCGCACGCAUUAGUCGCGUGUGUUCCGCCCCCCC
rnacentral:misc_RNA from 1 species